rnacentral:piRNA from 1 species
UAAGCCUGACUGUUGUCACGUUUGGUGGCUUU